rnacentral:rRNA from 1 species
GGGGGGAAGAAGGCGGUAGCGUUAACAACGCUAUCGAUUGACGUUACCCGCAGAAGGAGCAGCGGCACACUCUGUGCCAGCAGCCGCGGUAAUAUGGAGGGGGCAAGCGUUAAUCGGAAUUACUGGGCGUAAAGCGUAUGCAGGCGGUUUGUUAAGUCAGAUGUGAAAUCCCCAAGCUUAACUUGGGAACUGCAUUUGAAACUGGCAGGCUAGAGUCUCGUAGAGGGGGGUAGAAUUCCAGGUGUAGCGGUGAAAUGCGUAGCGAUCUGGAGGAAUACCGGUGGCGAAGGCGGCCCCCUGGACGAAAACUGACGCUCAGGUACGAAAGCGUGGGGAGCAAACAGGAUUAGAUACCCUGGUAGUCCACGCUGUAAACGAUGUCGAUUUGAAGGUUGUGGCCUUGAGGCGUGGCUUUCAGAGCUAACGCGUUAAAUCGACCGCCUGGGGAGUACGGCCGCAAGGUUGAAAUUCAAAUGAAUUAACGGGGGCCCACACAAGCGGUGGAGCAUGUGGUUUAAUUCGAUGCAACGCGAAGAAUCUUACCUACUCUUGACGUCCAGAGAACGUGGCAGAGAUGCGUGGGUGCCUUCGGGACCUCUGAGACAGGUGCUGCAUGGCUGUCGCCAUGCUCGUGUUGUAAAAUGUUGGGUUAAGUCCCGCAACAAGCGCAACCCUUAUCCUUUGUUGCCAGCGAUCCGGUCGGGAACUCAAAGGAAACUGCCGGA